rnacentral:misc_RNA from 1 species
UUUCCGUAGGUGAACCUGCGGAAGGAUCAUUAUUGAAAUAAACCUGAUGGGUUGUUGCUGGUUCUCUAGGGAGCAUGUGCACGCCUUGUCAUCUUUAUAUCUCCACCUGUGCACUUUUUGUAGACCCUUCCAGGUCUAUGUUGCUUCAUUUACCCCAAUGUAUGUUAAUAGAAUGUUGUGCCUAUAUAAUAUAUACAACUUUCAGCAACGGAUCUCUUGGCUCUC